rnacentral:rRNA from 1 species
CGUGUAGGCGGCCGAUCAAGUCGGGUGUGAAAUCCCUCGGCUCAACCGAGGAAUUGCACUCGAUACUGGUUGGCUAGAGUCCGGGAGGGGGUGGCGGAAUUCCCAGUGUAGCGGUGAAAUGCGUAGAUAUUGGGAAGAACACCGGUAGCGAAGGCGGCCACCUGGACCGGAACUGACGCUGAGGCGCGAAAGCCAGGGGAGCGAAUG